AGAGAAAUUACAUCAAGAAUAUAUUUAAUUGAAAAUUAGGAUAUUUCCAAGAAGAAACAGAUACUAAGUUAAGUGGGCCUGUAUGUGCCAAGGUUAAACAUAUAUAUUUAGGUUAAAGGGAUAAUAUCCAGAACACAUUAAAAACAAACAAAUAAAAUCAAAAUAGCCUGGGAGCCAGUUUGAAGUGGCUGAAUCUUUCGUGCAUUUUUGGGUUAUUUUGGCCACAGUGUUCCUAUGUCUGGAAUUCAUGAAAUAAAAAGAGGUCCUACAGGGUUACAGUUUCCCACAAAAUUGUACUCUGAACUCUUGAUCAAGGGACUAAUGAUUAACAAUAUAAAACAGGAGUAGAGAUGACACAGUAAUUCUCUACAUUCAAAACAGAAUUACCUCACAAUCUUAUAGGAUAUAUAUUACACAAAAUGUCCACUUUAAUGAAUACAUCCAGAACAAUCCUAUAUUAUAAAGAAUAAACACUAUGUUUCAUUAACAAUAAUUUUGCUUGCUUUCUUAGAAUUUCGGUAUUUGGAGACAGAGAAGCAACGAUGAGGGAUAAUUUAAGUGGUCUGAGCAGACUGUUUUUUCUCCAGAGACUACUUUAUCAAAAAGAGACUUGCAUAACAUAAGCCUUCUAACAGGAAGUACAUUUGUUUGCUCAUUCAUUCAACCAAUAUGUAUCAAAACCGUAACAUGUGCACAGGCAAAAGGAUUUCUGCCCUGCGUGGAGUCUAGUAGGGGAAAAGAGUUCAGUUAAAAGGAUUAUGAUGUCAACUUUUAUGCUGUUAAGUUUCAUACUCCUGAAGUUGGGUAGUAAACUGCACCUUGAAGCUAGGCGGACAGUGCGUGGCCUACAGGCUUUUUGCUCUUCAUCACUGCUCUAUACGAUACGACUGUCUGGACUCUUCAGUCUGAGGCCAACAUUGCAGAUUUGCUGUUGACAUAAACCAACAUGUUUGCAAAAGGAAAAACCUCUGACUGUCAGACUGUGGGUGUGGCCAUAUUACAGUCAAGGCUAUCAGUCACAAGAAGGAUAAUAUAAAGGAAUGGUUUAGCACAGACAUAUCACUUACUGCUGGAACUAGAACUUGUAAGUUUCCCCAGAUGGUAGGUCAGCAAUAUUCUCUUCACAGUGAUAAUGAAAUGUCCUUUUGCUACUAGAGGUUAUGCACUUCCUCUGAAACUGUUAAGUGAUUCUUACUCCUCUUUUUAAGAAAUACUCUUUAAAAAUCAUAACCAUUGCAAAAAUUCAGAUGAAAGUCAAAAGUAAAAAUCUCCUAUAAUCUUAUCCCCUAGGCAUAUAUUAAUAUUUCUAUGUGAAUCUAACUAUACUUACUUCUCAGCAUACACAUUUAGCAAACAUGGAAUCAUACUAUUCAGUUUAUAACUGCUUUUUGAUCUUUGCAAUAGAUGUGGACAUUCUUCAAUAAAAUACAAUGCAGAUUUCAAUUUAUUAAUGUAGAUGUACACUCUAUUUUACUGAGUGCAUAGUAUUCCACUGCAUGUUGGUGAAUUACCCUACUGGUUGACAUUUAGGUUGUUUUGCAAUAUAUAUACACUGCAAAUAUGGAUAUGUAUAAGAAAUAAAACAUCUUGUAUAAAGAUAUAUCACCACCUUUUAACAGUCACAAUUUAUUUAAGAUAAUUCAUUAGUGACAAGAAUGACAAUGCUUCACCUCAGUCAUCAAUGAACUUUUACAAACUCAUGAAAUAAAAUUAUUUAAA
rnacentral:lncRNA from 1 species